UUGAUACUGUUUAUAGGGGACUUCAGACUGCUUGCAUUCAGUGGGGGGACAUGGGAGGCUUGAAGUGCUGCUUCCAGCCCAAGCUUUGUUAUGUGGGGGUUCCAUUGUAGCAGCUGGGCUGUAAAUUAAGAUUCUUUAGAGAGAAAUCGGCAACAUUGAGGAAGAUGGCCGAGAGGAGAUUGUACUUUUAUGAGAUUGCCCAAACCACCCUUUGAUUAUCCAGUUCAUCCUGACGAAACAAGGACAGGAUUAAAGGCCCUGAUGAAAAUGAAGUAGAAGACCUUGCAGGACUUUGAAGUUCAUCUGAAAGGGCACUGUUAGCAGGUGUUAUAUAUACAGUAUCCAGUUUGUUUCCCAGAAUAUCACCCAGAGGAUGGAAACAAAAGCAGGGUAGUGCUUUCCUUCAAAAAUGAACCCAUUUAAAUCUUCCCCCAACUGGCUGUGACUGGGGGGUCUUCUCAAUUCUGCAAGGACAGACAGUGCCUCAUCUGUUUGGUGACACACCUCUAUUAUAUGCCUCAGAAGUCUCCUGACCCCCUGCAAAGCCUGUACCAUCUGUACCCUAUUGAAUACAUGGAUAUUAAAAGCCUUAAUACUUUA